UAUUCCGCGUAUUUACUCUUUAAUGGGUGAAAAAAAUCUUGCAGCUAUAGUCAUUUAAGAUUCAUGGAACAGCGUUUGAUGUUCAUUAGUUCGUUACUAUUAUAUCAGAAAUAAGAAUUAAAAAGUGCGGAUACGUAAAAGAAUGGAUUUUCUGCCCAAUACAUCCCGUUGCAUGUCCCGCUGCGCAAAACCACCAGGAACAGCUGCUCCAUUCAUUAGGCUUAUUGAUGAAUAGAUUAUUCUACUGCAUCAGAACAAUAAUUUUUAAUAUUAUGUUGAAUAAAAUACGUUUGUUUAUAUUAAGAAGUUGUUAUAGUUUAUGUUUUAUACACGAAAAUAAACAAUAAAAUUUAUUGAA